rnacentral:rRNA from 1 species
UACAGAGGGGGCAAGCGUUGUUCGGAAUUACUGGGCGUAAAGGGCGCGUAGGCGGCCUGUUAAGUCGAACGUGAAAUCCCCGGGCUCAACCCGGGAACUGCGUCCGAUACUGGCAGGCUUGAAUCCGGGAGAGGGAUGCGGAAUUCCAGGUGUAGCGGUGAAAUGCGUAGAUAUCUGGAGAACACCGGUGGCGAAGGCGGCAUCCUGGACCGGCAUUGACGCGUGAGGCGCGAAAGCCAGGGGAGCAAACGGG